AUGCUGGACCCGCUCUUCCUGUACGCCGUGUCGGUGAGCGGCCCGCUCAUGUGCGUCUUCCUCGACGGCUGGCUCGCCGCCGCGGUCACCGUGCUCCGCUGCAUGGUGGACGCCAUGCACGCGGGGAACUGCGUUACGCAGGUCCGCGUCGUGCGCGCCGAGGCCAUGGCAGCGAAACGGACGCGGCGCCGGAUCGCUGACAAGGAGCAGGCCGCGGCGGACGCGGACCAGGCGGAGGUCGACGCCGCGGCCGCGCGAAGCCUGCCGGCGUACGCCAGGUCCAGGAAAGGGAUGGCGCUUGACUUCUCGAAAUCAUUCUGGGAAGCUUACGCACCCCGGUCGUGUUAUCUUGGCCGCCCGUACGCGCUGGGAUCCGUGCCGUCGUCAGCCGCUAAAACAGGUCACGGGCAUUGCGGCAGUGUGAUUACCCACCACAGGUCUGUGAUCAUUCUAGUUCCAGUAGGCUACUGUGCAUGA
rnacentral:rRNA from 1 species